GCAUGCUUACCAUGCAGUCGAACGAUGAUCCCCAGCUUGCUGGGGGGAUUAGUGGCGAACGGGUGAGUAACACGUGAGUAACCUGCCCUUGACUCUGGGAUAAGCCUGGGAAACUGGGUCUAAUACUGGAUACGACCUUCUGGCGCAUGCCAUGUGGGUGGAAAGCUUUUGUGGUUUUGGAUGGACUCGCGGCCUAUCAGCUUGUUGGUGGGGUAAUGGCCUACCAAGGCGACGACGGGUAGCCGGCCUGAGAGGGUGGACGGCCACACUGGGACUGAGACACGGCCCAGACUCCUACGGGAGGCAGCAGUGGGGAAUAUUGCACAAUGGGCGCAAGCCUGAUGCAGCGACGCCGCGUGAGGGAUGAAGGCCUUCGGGUUGUAAACCUCUUUCAGUAGGGAAGAAGCGAAAGUGACGGUACCUGCAGAAGAAGCGCCGGCUAACUACGUGCCAGCAGCCGCGGUAAUACGUAGGGCGCAAGCGUUAUCCGGAAUUAUUGGGCGUAAAGAGCUCGUAGGCGGUUUGUCGCGUCUGCCGUGAAAGUCCGGGGCUUAACUCCGGAUCUGCGGUGGGUACGGGCAGACUUGAGUGAUGUAGGGGAGACUGGAAUUCCUGGUGUAGCGGUGAAAUGCGCAGAUAUCAGGAGGAACACCGAUGGCGAAGGCAGGUCUCUGGGCAUUAACUGACGCUGAGGAGCGAAAGCAUGGGGAGCGAACAGGAUUAGAUACCCUGGUAGUCCAUGCCGUAAACGUUGGGCACUAGGUGUGGGGGACAUUCCACGUUUUCCGCGCCGUAGCUAACGCAUUAAGUGCCCCGCCUGGGGAGUACGGCCGCAAGGCUAAAACUCAAAGGAAUUGACGGGGGCCCGCACAAGCGGCGGAGCAUGCGGAUUAAUUCGAUGCAACGCGAAGAACCUUACCAAGGCUUGACAUGAACCGGAACGGGCGCAGAGAUGUGUCGGCCCACUUGUGGCCGGGUUUACAGGGUGGUGCAUGGUUGUCGUCAGCUCGUGUCGUGAGAUGUUGGGGUUAAGUCCCGCAACGAGCGCAACCCUCGU
rnacentral:rRNA from 1 species